rnacentral:rRNA from 1 species
CAAUAGCGUAUAUUAAAGUUGUUGCGGUUAAAAAGCUCGUAGUUGGAUUUCUGCUGAGAACGACCGGUCCGCCCUUUGGGUGUGUAUCUGGCUCUUUCUUGGCAUCUUCUUGGUGAACGUUGCUGCACUUGACUGUGUGGAGCGCUACCCAGGACUUUUACUUUGAGGAAAUUAGAGUGUUUCAAGCAGGCAUACGCCUUGAAUACAUUAGCAUGGAAUAAUAAGAUAGGACCUCGGUUCUAUUUUGUUGGUUUCUAGAGCUGAGGUAAUGAUUAAUAGGGAUAGUUGGGGGCAUUCGUAUUUAACUGUCAGAGGUGAAAUUCUUAGAUUCGUUGAGGACCAACCACUGCGAAAGCAUUUGUCAAGGAUGUCUCCAUUAA